AUUGAACGCUGGCGGCAGGCCUAACACAUGCAAGUCGAGCGGCAGCGGGAAAGUAGCUUGCUACUUUUGCCGGCGAGCGGCGGACGGGUGAGUAAUGCUUGGGAAAUUGCCCAGUCGAGGGGGAUAACAGUUGGAAACGACUGCUAAUACCGCAUACGCCCUACGGGGGAAAGCAGGGGACCUUCGGGCCUUGCGCGAUUGGAUAUGCCCAGGUAGGAUUAGCUAGUUGGGGAGGUAAUGGCUCACCAAGGCGACGAUCCCUAGCUGGUCUGAGAGGAUGAUCAGCCACACUGGAACUGAGACACGGUCCAGACUCCUACGGGAGGCAGCAGUGGGGAAUAUUGCACAAUGGGGGAAACCCUGAUGCAGCCGUGCCGCGUGUGUGAAGAAGGCCUUCGGGUUGUAAAGCACUUUCAGCGAGGAGGAAAGGUUGUUGGCUAAUAUCCAACGGCUGUGACGUUACUCGCAGAAGAAGCACCGGCUAACUCCGUGCCAGCAGCCGCCGUAAGAC
rnacentral:rRNA from 1 species